GGCUCAGUCAACUUGAUAUUAAUUUGAACGUUUGUACUGCAUGGUUCUGAUUGAUUGCUGUUGAACUCGCUUGAAUAAUUUUACCAGGUGUCCUGUAUUCAUCAUAGAGAAAUAUGGCUGCUACAGUCCAAUUACAGAGAGCAGUUGUCUGUGGCAAAGGUGUUCCAACAGCCUGGGAUGGGGAGCCAGCAUUUUGCUUUUGAGGACACAGGAGUGUUGAAUGUAAGGUAAUCGUCCUGCUCUACUCAUUGGUGAAGCCUCAGCUGAAGUAUUGUGUCUAAUUCUGGACUCUACACUUUAAAGAAAAUAUGUGAGCAAAUUGGAGAGCGUCCAGAGGAAAGCAACACAAAUGAUAAAAAGUUUGGAAAACCUGCCUAUGAGGAAAAGUUAAAAAAACUGGACAUGUUUAAUCUUGAGACAAGAUGACUAUGGAGGAGGCAAGGUGGGGGAGAACCUGAUAACAUUCUUCAGCUAUGUGAAGGGCUGUUAUGAAGAGGAUGGUCACCAAGUGACUAGGGAGGUGGUAGAAUCUC